GCUUGUUGACUGUUUAAAUUGGAGGAUAGACAACGAGAUUGAUCUUGCACUUAAUCAAACUAUUGGUUCAAUUGAAGCAAUAGCUAAGUCAUCAAAUGAGUACAUUCUGGGUACUACUGACGUUUCAUCCACAACAGCUGAGACAAUCACAAGGUUUUUCCGGGAUGGAAAGUUUUAUCUUGCUCCUAAAAUUGGUUGAGUUAUAAUUCUACAGCAUUCAGAGCUAUGCACUCUGUGGAAGUGACUUCAGAUCUCAAGAGGUUGGAUACCGUCAUAUUGAUUGUGCUCAAGUUUAUCGCAAUGAAAAAGAGUGGCUACAACCUGUUGAGGGAUCCACGUUACAACAAAGGCAAAUCUUACAGGUGGAGUUACUGGGAAAUCAGUUGAGAAAAGGCCAGCUGUGCCUUGGUGAUGUGAGUUGGAUGGUAACACAAAAGAUACGUAAUUCAUACUGGCAGCGAAUCGAGUUCCAGUUGGACCUGGACCUUGACAUUUACUGGAGGGUGCACCGCUUGAUUGAUAAACGUGGACUAUAUCAAAAACUUUCACCUGAUAAAAAAAAUGCGCUUUUAUCACGAUCAAGUAGGCUUGAAUCAAGAAGAUAACAAAGGAUGUUAAAUGGUGUCCAAAUCUUUAAUUUUUUCUUAAAUUCCUUAAAUUCUCCAUUUUCUAAAAAAGGCUCUUAAAAUUUUGAAUUUUCUUCAAAUUUUGUGUUGUGUAGCUAUGUAUUUUCUCCAUUUUCUUAAAAAAGGGUGUCCAAAUCUUGAUUUUUUUCUUCAAAUUUUGUUGAACCAAGUACACUAUUUUCUCCAUAUUUAUGCUGUCUACCUUCAUUUUUUGGAAAAAAAGGGAAAAAGGGUGUCCAAAUCUAGAAUUUUUUUCCUUAAAAAAUUUGAGGGUUUUUUUUCUCUAUUGCUUUCUAGAAUGGUGUAUUUUUAUUGUUUGAAUCCGAAAUUGAAACUAUUUAUUUGUUAUUCAGUUUAGUUGGUAA